rnacentral:rRNA from 1 species
GACGAACGCUGGCGGCGUGCUUAACACAUGCAAGUCGAGCGGUAAGGCCCUUUCGGGGGUACGACGAGCGGCGAACGGGUGAGUAACACGUGGGUGACCUGCCCUCAGCUCUGGGAUAAGCCUGGGAAACCGGGUCUAAUACUGGAUAUGACUCCAUGACGCAUGUUGUGGGGUGGAAGGCCUUGUGCGGCUGAGGAUGGGCCCGCGGCCUAUCAGCUUGUUGGUGGGGUGAGGCCUACCAAGGCGACGACGGGUAGCCGGCCUGAGAGGGCGACCGGCCACACUGGGACUGAGACACGGCCCAGACUCCUACGGGAGGCAGCAGUGGGGAAUCUUGCGCAAUGGGCGAAAGCCUGACGCAGCGACGCCGCGUGAGGGAUGACGGCCU